GGCGCAUUGUUUCCGGUGUUCAGGUGAUACUCAUAUAAGACUAUCAAGACGCGCAAGCCGCAGGACGCAGCAAUGCAGCCGACCGCGACGACUCCAACAUCCCACGAGCGGUGACAGCACGAGCGGUGACAACAGACGCGCAAGCCGCAGGAUGCAGCAAUGCAGCCGACCGCGACGACUCCAACAUCCCACGAGCGGUGACAACAGGAGGAUUCUGAAAGAUGAGAUUAAGCUGGAGCCUAAAGAGGAGAUAAAGCUGGAACCUAAGUUGGAGAUUAAGCUGGAGCCUGAGUUGGAGCUGUAACUUAUUUCAUUUUAUAUUAUUAUAUUUUUAUGAUAUUAUUAUGUUUAUAUUGUGGUUGCUAUUAAUGAGUUUUCAAGACAUUGGAUUAAACUUUUGGAUUUUUGUAUUGUGGACUUUCG